GCCUAUACAUGCAGUCGAGCGACAGACAAGGAGCUUGCUCCUUUGACGUUAGCGGCGGACGGGUGAGUAACACGUGGGUAACCUACCUAUAAGACUGGGAUAACUUCGGGAAACCGGAGCUAAUACCGGAUAAUAUUUCGAACCGCAUGGUUCGAUAGUGAAAGAUGGUUUUGCUAUCACUUAUAGAUGGACCCGCGCCGUAUUAGCUAGUUGGUAAGGUAACGGCUUACCAAGGCGACGAUACGUAGCCGACCUGAGAGGGUGAUCGGCCACACUGGAACUGAGACACGGUCCAGACUCCUACGGGAGGCAGCAGUAGGGAAUCUUCCGCAAUGGGCGAAAGCCUGACGGAGCAACGCCGCGUGAGUGAUGAAGGUCUUCGGAUCGUAAAACUCUGUUAUUAGGGAAGAACAUACGUGUAAGUAACUAUGCACGUCUUGACGGUACCUAAUCAGAAAGCCACGGCUAACUACGUGCCAGCAGCCGCGGUAAUACGUAGGUGGCAAGCGUUAUCCGGAAUUAUUGGGCGUAAAGCGCGCGUAGGCGGUUUUUUAAGUCUGAUGUGAAAGCCCACGGCUCAACCGUGGAGGGUCAUUGGAAACUGGAAAACUUGAGUGCAGAAGAGGAAAGUGGAAUUCCAUGUGUAGCGGUGAAAUGCGCAGAGAUAUGGAGGAACACCAGUGGCGAAGGCGACUUUCUGGUCUGUAACUGACGCUGAUGUGCGAAAGCGUGGGGAUCAAACAGGAUUAGAUACCCUGGUAGUCCACGCCGUAAACGAUGAGUGCUAAGUGUUAGGGGUUUCCGCCCCUU
rnacentral:rRNA from 1 species